rnacentral:tRNA from 1 species
GCCUUCUCAGCUCAGUGGUAGAGCGUGUGGCUUUUAACCACAUGCUUGUGGGUUUGAUCACCACAGACGGUG